rnacentral:lncRNA from 1 species
CGCGGCUGUGUCCGUGGCCUAUUUUUGGCACACGGAGGCCGCCCACCAAGUCUGGUGCCAUUCCGAGUCCCGCGGACGAACUUCGCCCACGCCCCCCACCAAGGCUAUAGCCCACCCAUUUUUUGGCCAUUUUUCCGCUGGGGGGUCUUGGGACCCCGACCUUCGGGGGCUGAUUUUUGGGCGCGGCUGCGCCCGUGGCCUAUUUUUGGCACACGGAGGCUGCCCGCCAACUAUGGUGCCAUUCCGAGUCCCGCGGACGAACUUCGCCCACUCCCCCCACCAAGGCUAUAGCCCACCCGUUUUUUGGCCAUUUUUCCGCUGGGGGGUCUUGGGACCCCGACCUUCGGGGGCUGAUUUUUGGGCGCGGCUGUGCCCGUGGCCUAUUUUUGGCACACGGAGGCCGCCUGCCAAGUCUGGGGCCAUUCCGAGUCCGGCGGACGAACUUCGCCCACGCCCCCCACCAAGGCUAUAGCCCACCCGUUUUUCGGCCAUUUUUCCGCUGGGGGGUCUUAGGACCCCGACCUUCGGGGGCUGAUUUUUGGGCAAGGCUGUGCCCGUGGCCUAUUUUUCGCACACGGAGGCCGUCCGCCAAGUCUGGGGCCAUUCUGAGUCCCGCGGAUGAACUUCGCCCACGCCGCCCACCAAGGUUAUAGCCAACCCGUUUUUUGGCCAUUUUUCCGCUGGGGGGUCUUAGGACCCCGACUUCGGGGGCUGAUUAUUGGGCGCGGCUGUACCCGUGGCCUAUUUUUGGCACACGGAGGCCGCCCGUCAAGUCUGGGGCCAUUCCGAGUCCGGCGGACGAACUUCGCCCACGCCCCCCGCCAAGGCUAUAGCCCACCCGUUUUUUGGCCAUUUUUCCGCUGGGGGGUCUUGGGACCCCGACCUUCGGGGGCUGAUUUUUGGGCGCGGCUGUGCCCGUGGCCUAUUUUUGGCACACGGAGGCCGCCCGCCAAGUCUGGGGCCAUUCCGAGUCCGGCGGACGAACUUCGCCCACGCCCCCCACCAAGGCUAUAGCCCACCCGUUUUUUGGCCAUUUUUCCGCUGGGGGGUAUUGGGACCCCGACCUUCGGGGGCUGAUUUUUGGGCGCGCCUGUGCCCGUGGCCUAUUUUUGGCACACGGAGGCCGCCCGCCAAGCCUGGGGCUAUUCCGAGUCCGGCGGACGAACUUCGCCCCCGCCCCCCCACCAAGGCUAUAGCCCACCCGUUUUUUGGCCAUUUUUUCCGCUGGGGGGUCUUGGGACCCCCGACCUUGGGGGGCUGAUUUUUGGGCAAGGCUGUGCCCGUGUCCUAUUUUUGNNNNNNNNNNNNNNNNNNNNNNNNNNNNNNNNNNNNNNNNNNNNNNNNNNNNNNNNNNNNNNNNNNNNNNNNNNNNNNNNNNNNNNNNNNNNNNNNNNNNCGGAGGCCGCCCGCCAAGUCUGGGGCAAUUCUGAGUCCCGCGGACGAACAUCACCCACGCCGCCCACCAAGGCUAUAACCCACCCAUUUUUUGGCCAUUUUUCCGCUGGGGGGUCUUAGGACCCCGACUUCGGGGGCUGAUUAUUGGGCGCGGCUGUACCCGUGGCCUAUUUUUGGCACACGGAGGCCGCCCGUCAAGUCUGGGGCCAUUCCGAGUCCGGCGGACGAACUUCGCCCACGCCCCCCGCCAAGGCUAUAGCCCACCCGUUUUUUGGCCAUUUUUCCGCUGGGGGGUCUUGGGACCCCGACCUUCGGGGGCUGAUUUUUGGGCGCGGCUGUGCCCGUGGCCUAUUUUUGGCACACGGAGGCCGCCCGCCAAGUCUGGGGCCAUUCCGAGUCCGGCGGACGAACUUCGCCCACGCCCCCCACCAAGGCUAUAACCCACCCAUUUUUUGGCCAUUUUUCCGCUGGGGGGUAUUGGGACCCCGACCUUCGGGGGCUGAUUUUUGGGCGCGGCUGUGCCCGUGGCCUAUUUUUGGCACACGGAGGCCGCCCGCCAAGUCUGGGGCCAUUCCGAGUCCGGCGGACGAACUUCGCCCACGCCCCCCACCAAGGCUAUAGCCCACCCGUUUUUUGGCCAUUUUUCCACUGGGGGGUAUUGGGACCCCGACCUUCGGGGGCUGAUUUUUGGGCACGGCUGUGCCCGUGUCCUAUUUUUUGUACACGGAGGCCGCCCGCCAAGUCUGGGGCCAUUCUGAGUCCCGCGGAGAAACUUCGCCCACGCCGCCCACCAAGGCUAUAACCCACCCAUUUUUUGGCCAUUUUUCCGCUGGGGGGUCUUGGGAUCCCGACCUUCGGGGGCUGAUUUUUGGGCGCGGCUGUGCCCGUGGCCUAUUUUUGGCACACGGAGGCCGCCCGCCAAGUCUGGUGCCAUUCCGAGUCCCGCGGACGAACUUCGCCCACGCCCCCCACCAAGGCUAUAGCCCACCCGUUUUUUGGCCAUUUUUCUGCUGGGGGGUCUUGGGACCCCGACCUUCGGUCGCUGAUUUUUGGGCGCGGCUGUGUCCGUGGUCUAUUUUGGGCACACGGAGGCCGCCCACCAAGUCUGGGGCCAUUCCGAGUCCGGCGGACGAACUUCGCCCACGACCCCCACAUAGGCUAUAGCCCACCCGUUUUUUGGCCAUUUUUCCGCUGGGGGGUCUUGGGACCCCGACCUUCGGGGGCUGAUUUUUGGGCGCGCCUGUGCCCGUGGCCUAUUUUUUGCACACGGAGGCCGCCCGCCAAGUCUGGGGCCAUUCCGAGUCCCGCGGACGAACUUCGCCCACGCCCCCCACCAAGGCUAUAGCCCANNN